GACGAACGCUGGCGGCGUGCCUAAUACAUGCAAGUUGAGCGCUGAAGGUUGGUACUUGUACCAACUGGAUGAGCAGCGAACGGGUGAGUAACGCGUGGGGAAUCUGCCUUUGAGCGGGGGACAACAUUUGGAAACGAAUGCCAAUACCGCAUAAAAACUUUAAACACAAGUUUUAAGUUUGAAAGAUGCAAUUGCAUCACUCAAAGAUGAUCCCGCGUUGUAUUAGCUAGUUGGUGAGGUAAAGGUUCACCAAGGCGAUGAUACAUAGCCGACCUGAGAGGGUGAUCGGCCACAUUGGGACUGAGACACGGCCCAAACUCCUACGGGAGGCAGCAGUAGGGAAUCUUCGGCAAUGGACGAAAGUCUGACCGAGCAACGCCGCGUGAGUGAAGAAGGUUUUCGGAUCGUAAAACUCUGUUGGUAGAGAAGAACGUUGGUGAGAGUGGAAAGCUCAUCAAGUGACGGUAACUACCCAGAAAGGGACGGCUAACUACGUG
rnacentral:rRNA from 1 species